rnacentral:misc_RNA from 1 species
UGAGUGAUGAAUUUAAAAGAGUACUUACUGAGCUUGACUCCCAUUUGUCCACAAUGACAAUAAUAACUGAAACCGAGGGAGGGAGAUUUUCUGAGAUAGAGGAACAACUCAAACAUGCUGAGAGAAAGAUUAUUCGUUGGGAGUCAGAUCCAUGUCUGAUAUGGGAUUCUGGCCCCAUGGAAGCCACUGAGUAUUUACAAGCUGUCAACGAGAUUCUAAUAGUGAUAGAAAGUCUGGGUGGUCUGUCCUUGAGCGAGAAUGGGAAGCCAAAGGAGAUUGCUUUACGAGCUCAGAAUGCACUGCAGAGAGCAAUGUCAAGACUUGAGGAAGAGCUGUGCCACAUUCUUUUUCAACAUAAGCAAUAUUUUAAGCCGCAAUAUGUUUUGCUUCAUUCACG